UGAGCAGGACAUAUUAGCAUCAUUUCUAGCAUCAUGAUGGUCUAUGGUUCUUCCUGAGGACAUCUCUGGUCUUGGCUGGUCAUGCUCUUGAAAGUGGUAUUGGGAUCUUCGGUUCUUCUAUAUCUUUUCCUUUAUGUCUGUCUGUCUGUCUCUCUCUCUCUCUCUCUCUUUCUCUCUCUCUCUCUCUCAUUCUGUCUCCUUUCCAAACCCCAUGAUAUCAGCAGCUUCAUCCCACCAAAUAUUUCCUGCAAUGAUAUUCCGUUUCAUCACCAGCCACCAAAUGACAGAACCAACUGCCCGGAAACUAUGAGACAGAGAAGCCUUUCCUCCUUGGAAGUUGUUCAACUCAGCCAUCUUGUCAUGCUGCUGAAAGGCUAACAAGGGUGCCUUGCAAGAUCUCAGUAAUAGCUCCAGGAUGAAUCUCUCCAUCCACCAACCACAAGAGUCUGCCUGAUUUAUUUGCUUCAUGUAUGUGGGUAUUCUGUUGCUGUCUUCAGGCACACCAGAAAGUGGCAUCAGAUGCCCAUUACAGAUGG
rnacentral:lncRNA from 1 species